rnacentral:tRNA from 1 species
ACUUUCAAAGGAUAAGAGCAAUUCCACUAGCCUUAGGUGCUAGAAACCCUUGGUGCAAGUCCAAGUGAAAGUA